GACAUGGCACUGGGUGGCAACGAUGGCAGCAGCGGUUUUUGUUGUUGUUUCCCCAGAACGCUGUGCAAUAUAUUCCGAUUUUUUUUCUUGUCAUUAAGCCAGUGCCUCGGAGAUGAUGAUGUAGUCCCUAUGUGGGCCGCAGAAAGCACUUCGAGCCGUGCUGGAGUCGUGCUGGGUGGCUCUGAUAGCAGAGCUAAUGGGAGCGAAUGGGAUGCAACGAACUGUUCUAAUGACACCAGCCAGGGAAGAGACAACAGACGAGGUUUUUCCCUGAUGUCAACAGAGUCACACUGCAGAAGAGCCAGUGCUGAUGGGGUCUGCUCCAGCCUGUGGGACCAGCAAGCUAAAACCCUGAAGGAAUUUUCCUGAGUGAGUUUGUCCAAAGCAACAUUCACCACCUCAUUCAAUAUUUGCCUGCAAAAAAAAUGCCAAUUAUUAAGAGACAGUCCUGGCUGGGCAUCAAUAGGCAGCCAGGUGUGAGAAGUUGAAGAGAAAUACAUCUCAUUAAUGUGGAAUUGUUUUUAGGUUAAUAAUCUUGCGUUAAUUUUCCUUUAAAAUAUUGUCUUUGACCGUUAAACGCUCGCACUGUUAUAAAAAGAACGUAAUAAAUGAUCUUGAAGCAAAUUCUCCUGCCAAAUGUCAUAAUUUAUUUGCAUAAUUAGCUCUUAAUUUUAAUUCAAUAUGCAAAUCCACGCUUCCUUUAAAUUGCAGCAGCCUGUUUCCCAGCCCUGGCUGCCAUGAAUUUAUUGUGAGGCGGCUGUUUGAAAAGGCAGCUUCACUGCCUUCUGGGGAUGGCUGCCUGGGGGAGGGGGUGCCCACCGCCAAUUCCAGUCACUUUUUGUUGGGGUUUUGUUUUGGUUCGCUUCUUAAUAAGUUGGACCCCAGCCUGCUUCAAUCCCUGAGCAUCCCCAUUUUCCUCCCAACAAGACCUGUUUCCCUUUGUCUUCCUUCUGCAUUCUCUCUUUCUUUUUUUCUUUUCUUCUUUGGAGAAGACAAUGUUGAUCCUCCAUGUUCCCAUCCCCUUGCACCUCCAUGAAAAGCUCUGACUCAAGGCAGCCUGGCAACUGCUCUGCUCUCCUCCCCUCUUCAGCUCUUUUUCUCCAGCCCUUCCUUGCUGCA
rnacentral:lncRNA from 1 species